CAGUAGCCGCGGUAAUACGUAGGGUGCAAGCGUUAAUCGGAAUUACUGGGCGUAAAGCGUGCGCAGGCGGUUCGCUAAGACAGACGUGACAUCCCCGGGCUUAACCUGGGAACUGCAUUUGUGACUGGCAAGCUAGAGUGUGGCAGAGGGGGGUGGAAUUCCGCGUGUAGCAGUGAAAUGCGUAGAUAUGCGGAGGAACACCGAUGGCGAAGGCAGCCCCCUGGGCCAACACUGACGCUCAUGCACGAAAGCGUGAGGAGCAAACAGGAUUAGAUACCCCUGUAGUCCCUGUCUCUUAUAC
rnacentral:rRNA from 1 species